rnacentral:rRNA from 1 species
UACGUAGGGGGCAAGCGUUGUCCGGAAUCACUGGGCGUAAAGCGCGUGUAGGCGGUCCGGUAAGUCGGGUGUGAAACCUCCAGGCUCAACCUGGAGACGCCACCCGAUACUGCUGUGACUAGAGUCCGGUAGGGGAGCGUGGAAUUCCUGGUGUAGCGGUGAAAUGCGCAGAUAUCAGGAGGAACACCAGCGGCGAAGGCGGCGCUCUGGGCCGGAACUGACGCUGAGGAGCGAAAGCGUGGGGAGCAAACAGG